GACAAGAUAGCUUAGUUGGUAGUGCGUCUGCCUUGUAAGCGCUAGGCCGCGGGUUCGAUUCCCGCCCGGGGCG
rnacentral:tRNA from 1 species